AUUGAGGUUUUAUAAUAUGGUGGUAAUAUGUCUUUAGAGUCCCUGGUUAUUAUGUAUUAGAGGGGAGAGAUGACGGUCGUAUGUCCUCCACGCAUUGUUUCAGCAUUCCUCGUUCUUAUCUUUGUGUUUGGAAUUUGUGUUUUUGUCUUUUAUUUUCCCCUUAAUAGAUUUUUGGGGAAGGAUUGUUUGGUUUGGUAACGUUAAUUGGGGGGUUUUUACUCUGUGGGUCUUGUUCUAGAGUGGCAGAAGUGUCCAGUCUGUUCAGCAUUCCUCGUUCUUAUCUUCGUGUUUGGAGUUUGUGUUUUAUCUUUAAUAUUCAUCUUAAUAGGUUUUGGGUAACAUUAUCAGGGGACUUUAUACUCUAUGGGUCUUGUACUAACGUGACAGUCGAGUGGCAGAAGUGUCCAGUCUGUUCAGCAUUCCUCAUUCUUAUUUUCGUGUUUGGAGAUUGUGUUUUAUCUUUAAUAUUCAUCUUAAUAGGUUUUGGGUAACAUUAUCGGGGGACUUUAUACUCUAUGGGUCUUGUACUAACGUGACAGUCGAGUGGCAGAAGUGUCCAGUCUGUUCAGCAUUCCUCAUUCUUAUCUUCGUGUUUGGAGUUUGUGUUUUAUCUUUAAUAUUCAUCUUAAUAGGUUUUGGGUAACAUUAUCGGGGGACUUUAUACUCUAUGGGUCUUGUACUAACGUGACAGUUGAGUGGCAGAAGUGUCCAGUCUGUUCAGCAUUCCUCAUUCUUAUUUUCGUGUUUGGAGUUUGUGUUUUAUCUUUAAUAUUCCCGUUAAUAGGUUUUUGGGAAGGAUUGUUUGGUUUGGUAGCAUUAUUGGGGAGCUUUCUAAUGUGUGGGUCUUGUACUACCAGGUAGGGUGACAGUGUCCAGUCUGUUCAGCAUUCUUCGUUCUUUUCUUCAUGUUUGGAGUUUGUGUUUUAUCUUUAAUUUUCCCCUUAGCAGAUUUUUUGGAAGGAUUGUUUGGUUUGGUAACAUUAUCAGAGGACUUUAUACUCUGUGGGUCUUGUAAUAGCUUGACUGUUCUUAUCCUCGUGUUAUUACAUGUCAAACCCGAGACGUUUCGGGUCCCUACAAAGGUCGGUGUAGGGGCCAUUCUACAAGACCAAUCUGAAAAGUUUCG